rnacentral:rRNA from 1 species
GCAAGUCGAGCGCACCUUCGGGUGAGCGGCGGACGGGUUAGUAACGCGUGGGAACAUACCCUUCUCUACGGAAUAGCCAUUGGAAACGAUGAGUAAUACCGUAUACGCCCUUCGGGGGAAAGAUUUAUCGGAGAAGGAUUGGCCCGCGUUAGAUUAGAUAGUUGGUGGGGUAAUGGCCUACCAAGACGAUGAUGCAUAGCCGACCUGAGAGGGUGAUC